CAGUUAGAAGGUAUCUGUGAUGGCUGGGCGGGGAGUAGAAGCACACCAGCAAAGGCGGGCCCUGCCCCUCCAGGCACCGGCACCAGUGGAGGAGACGGGUUAGGGCUCAUUCAGACCAUGCUGCCUGCAUUCAUUGAGAAAUGGUAAAUUCCAUGCCAGUUUGAUGAAGACCAUGAAAGCCUUCUUCCAGAAUGACUUGUGCAGCUAGAAGGGGUAAGUGAGGCACCAGAGUUUCCGGAGUCCAAGAGCCACACGGAUGUUCCAGCCUAACCAUCUGGCCAUGGGCUAACUGAAGGAAAUAAAGAUCUUUAGGACAGAAGAUGGGAUUGCUUCUCUCAGUCCUGUCCCAGGCCCCUGAGCUCUCUGGAACACCAUAAACAUGCCUCAGGAGUCAUUGUUGGCAGUCACGUCAUCCACAAAAGAGAUCAUCGCACCUCAGAGGUCACCCAUCCAUGAGGCCAGAUGCUGAGCCCUGGACAGUGUACAGCAGUGUAAAGUAACGAUGCUCUGACCUAUCAAAUUAGAAAAUGUGGAGAAAGAAAAAUGACGGCCACUGAACACUUAGUUCAUUUGGAAAAGACCAACUCCUGGA